GAAAACCUGAGUUUGAUCCCUCAGAGCC
rnacentral:piRNA from 1 species